AUGAGCUCGGUCGGUAUCCAUCCAUCCGGCGGUCAAGCAGGCCAGGGUCGCAGCCGAGGCGCCGUGGUCACUGAAGCCAUUAAGAACGCGGUGAUGGAUGACCGCGGGCGGGCGCGGGCGACGGUGGAGAGGAAGGGCGGCGGUGGUGCGGAUCUACUGAAGCCGCAGGGUUGGGGGCGGCGCACGGCGGAGGGGCGGUGGCCGGUGCUGGCGGUGGAGGGGCGCACUGGAUCGUGGAGAUGCGCUCGAGGCGGAGAUAUGACCUAA
rnacentral:rRNA from 1 species